rfam:Agrococcus carbonis strain DSM 22965 genome assembly, chromosome: I
UCGGUCGGCCAGGCGGUCGCGUCGCGCAUCUUCGGAUGCGUGCCGAGGAACGUCCGGGCUCCGCAGAGCAGGGCGGUGGAUAACGUCCACCCGGGGCAACCCGCGAGCAAGUGCAACAGAGAGCAGGUCCACCGGUCGGGGCGACCCGGCCGGCCAGGAGUGAAACGGUGGGGCAAGAGCCCACCAGCGCGGCGCGUGAGCGUCGCGGCUAGGCAAACCUCGCCCGGAGCAAGACCAGACAGCGGAUCACGGGGCUGCUCGUCCCAUCCGCGGGUAGGUCGCUAGAGGCGCACGGCGACGUGCGUCGUAGAGAGAUGACCGUCCACGACAGAACCCGGCGUAUCGGCCGGCCGAUUCG